rnacentral:rRNA from 1 species
UAGGGAAUCUUCCACAAUGGACGCAAGUCUGAUGGAGCAACGCCGCGUGAGUGAAGAAGGCUUUCGGGUCGUAAAACUCUGUUAUUGAAGAAGAACGUGCGUGACAGUAACUGGUCAUGCAGUGACGGUAUUCAAUCAGAAAGUCACGGCUAACUACGUGCCAGCAGCCGCGGUAAUACGUAGGUGGCAAGCGUUGUCCGGAUUUAUUGGGCGUAAAGCGAGUGCAGGCGGUCCUUUAAGUCUGAUGUGAAAGCCUUCGGCUUAACCGAAGAAGGGCAUCGGAAACUGGGAGACUUGAGUGCAGAAGAGGAGAGUGGAACUCCAUGUGUAGCGGUGAAAUGCGUAGAUAUAUGGAAGAACACCAGUGGCGAAGGCGGCUCUCUGGUCUGUAACUGACGCUGAGGCUCGAAAGCGUGGGUAGCAAACAGGAUUAGAUACCCUGGUAGUCCACGCCGUAAACGA